UACGUAGGGGGCGAGCGUUGUCCGGAAUGACUGGGCGUAAAGGGAGUGUAGGCGGCCUUUUAAGUUAUGUGUGAAAGCCCACGGCUCAACUGUGGAAUUGCACAUAAAACUGGGAGGCUGGAGUGCAGGAGAGGUAAGCGGAAUUUCCAGUGUAGCGGUGGAAUGCGUAGAUAUUGGGAAGAACACCGGAGGCGAAGGCGGCUUACUGGACUGUAACUGACGCUGAGGCUCGAAAGCGUGGGGAGCAAACAGG
rnacentral:rRNA from 1 species